AACGAACGCUGGCGGCAUGCCUAACACAUGCAAGUCGAACGAGACCUUCGGGUCUAGUGGCGCACGGGUGCGUAACGCGUGGGAAUCUGCCCUUCGGUUCGGAAUAACUCAGGGAAACUUGAGCUAAUACCGAAUGAUGUCUUCGGACCAAAGAUUUAUCGCCGAAGGAUGAGCCCGCGUCGGAUUAGCUAGUUGGUGAGGUAAAGGCUCACCAAGGCGACGAUCCGUAGCUGGUCUGAGAGGAUGAUCAGCCACACUGGGACUGAGACACGGCCCAGACUCCUACGGGAGGCAGCAGUGGGGAAUAUUGGACAAUGGGCGAAAGCCUGAUCCAGCAAUGCCGCGUGAGUGAUGAAGGCCUUAGGGUUGUAAAGCUCUUUUACCCGGGAUGAUAAUGACAGUACCGGGAGAAUAAGCCCCGGCUAACCUCCGUGCCAGCAGCCGCGGUAAUACGGAGGGGGCUAGGCGUUGUUCGGAAUUACUGGGCGUAAAGCGCACGUA
rnacentral:rRNA from 1 species